rnacentral:lncRNA from 10 species
CUUGAAUCCGGGAGCUGGAGGUUGUGGUGAGCCGAGAUCGCACCACUGCAAUCCAGCCUGGAGACAGAGCAAGACUCAGUCUAAAAAAAAAAAAAAAAAAGAAAAAGUUAGGUUCUGAGCCGGGUCCCAGAUUUGGGCUGGGAGGAUAGGGUGGGGGCAGGGAAUAAUUCCAACCGUGGUCUUUUUCUUUUCUCACUCUGUUGUCCAGGCUGGAGUGUAGUGACUCAAUCUCAGCUCACUGCAACCUCUGUUUCCUAUGUUCAAGCAAGUCUCCUGCCUCAGCCUCCUGAGUAGCUGGGACGACAGGCAUACACCACCAUGCCUGGCUAAUUUUGUAUUUUUGUAGAGACAGGGUUUCACAAUGUUGCCCAGGCUGUUCUCAAACUCCCAGGCUCAAGCGAUCCUCCCGCCUCGGUCUCCCAAAAUGCUAGCAUUACAGGUGUGAGCCACUGCGCCUAGCUAGGCAGGACUAUUUGAAAGGCACCAGGGCUAGGCUAGCAUGGUGGGAGGCCAGGAGAGGGUCUAGAUUAUAUUCCCAGUGAUACUAGGAACCCCAAGAGGGCUUUCAGAAGUGGGUGGCAUGAUCUUAUUUGGAUGUUUAAAAGAUUAUAGGGCUGGGCUUGGUGGUGUGAUCCUGUAUCCUAGCUGAGGCAGGAGGAUUCACGCACACAGGCUUGAGCCUAGGACUUCUGGGAGGUGGUGUGUGCCAUGACCAUCGGCGUCAAUGUGGUGACCCCCCAAGAGCAGGGGACCACCAGGUUGCCUAAGGAAGAGUCAACUGGCCCAGGUUGGAAACAGAGCAGGUCAAAACUCCUGUGUUGAUCAGUAGUGGAAUCACGUCUGUGAAUAGCCACUGCACUCCAGCCUGGGCAACAGGGUGAGAAAAGAAAAAGACCACAGUUGGAAUUAUUCCCCGCCCCCAACCUAUCCUCUCUAAAACCUCCCAACCCUGUCUCUAAAACAAAACGUUAAAGUAAAAAUAAAUAAAAUAGGCCAGGCACGGUGGCUCAUGCCUGUAAUCCCAGCACUUUGGGAGGCCGAGGCUGGUGGAUCAUGAGGUCAGGAGAUCGAAACCAUCCUGGCUAACACAGUGAAACCCCAUCUCUACUAAAAAUACAAAAAAUUACCUGGGCGUGGUGGCGGGCACCUGUAGUCCCAGCUACUCGGGAG